rnacentral:lncRNA from 1 species
AGGGUGGUUAAGUACUGGUGCGUGGAGUGGUCUUUGAUAACGGGUAGGGCGAGAGAAGACUUGUAGGCAGAAGAGGGAACAGAGAGAAGGUAGAGAAGGGUGAGAGAGAGUGGGAGAAGGAGGGAAGAGGAAGCCAUGGUAGAGAGGUGAGAGUGAGAGCAGUUGGUAGUUGAAAAAUAGGUUUGAGAGAGUCGAGUCGCCGCGGCUUGUUGAAAUAUAGUUGUUGUUGGGUUUGGGGUUGAGUUGGGUUUGAGGGAUAAGAGAAGGUGGGAAUUAAGAAAGGAAGAAUAGUGGUGUGUGAACUUUUUUGGUAGUAGCUGACUAGAUGACACACCUCGUGCUUAUCUUCUCUUCUUCUCUCUCUUCAUAAAC